GUAUUAUCUCAGGGGAUUCACUGUUGCACAAAUGUCAUGCAGAGCGACUAUCCUGACAUUUGACGGCAGCCAUGCUGUGGCACUGCUUUGAAGAAUUUUAGUCGAAAUACUCUUUUGAGCCAGAUCAUUAAAAUGGAAUGUCAAAAUAAGAAAAACGAGCAUUUUCGACACCUCUUUUUUUUUGCUUUUAAUCAAGGUUCUAAGAAAUGAGACAAGUACCAGAUAAGUACCUUGCCAUGGUUUAGAUACCGGUGAGAUAAAACCUGUUUACCUGAACAGUUGCAGGCUGGCUGCCGCUGUUGCUGCAGUGAUGGCGAGUGAGAUGUUAUAAAGGACCGAGAUUCUCGGAAGAAAGGGUUGAUAGAGUUUAAGGUGAGGUUUGAAAGUUAGACAAUAUAGUGAACAAGGAGAGAAGAAUGGCCUGAGAAAGGAGUGCAUAAGUCAGUGUGUCACGUGACCGACAAGCUCAGUAGAAAAGAAGAUAUUUUGAGUGUAGCAGUAGAGAAGGCAGAGAGAAAAGAAAGAUCACUUUCCCUCUGAUCAUGGAAUAGGCUCCUACUAAGAGGAAGAAGUAAGACAGCUUGCAAAGAACUGCACCAAUUACACAACUAUUUUUGAAACAGAUGUAAGGGAUUUCUGCAGGACUUCUUCCAGCUUCAGUUUUAAGGUUUUGAUGACCUGUGAUGACCUUCUACUACCUACUAAACUAUCCCACAUCAACAGCGCAUACUAUCAAACUAUAUAUAUGCAACUCUUAAAGGAAUGUUUACUGAUCUCCAU